UGGGGAAUAUUGCACAAUGGGCGCAAGCCUGAUGCAGCCAUGCCGCGUGUGUGAAGAAGGCAUUCGGGUUGUAAAGCACUUUCAGCGGGGAGGAAGGCGUUAAGGUUAAUAACCUUGGCGAUUGACGUUACCCGCAGAAGAAGCACCGGCUAACUCCGUGCCAGCAGCCGCGGUAAUACGGAGGGUGCAAGCGUUAAUCGGAAUUACUGGGCGUAAAGCGCACGCAGGCGGUUGAUUGAGUCAGAUGUGAAAUCCCCGGGCUUAACCCGGGAAUUGCAUCUGAUACUGGUCAGCUAGAUCCUUGUAGAGGGGGGUAGAAUUCCAUGUGUAGCGGUGAAAUGCGUAGAGAUGUGGAGGAAUACCGGUGGCGAAGGUGGCCCCCUGGACAAAGACUGACGCUCAGGUGCGAAAGCGUGGGGAGCAAACAGG
rnacentral:rRNA from 1 species